GACGAACGCUGGCGGCGUGCCUAAUACAUGCAAGUCGAACGAACGGAUUGAGGAGCUUGCUCUUCAUGAAGUUAGUGGCGGACGGGUGAGUAACACGUGGGUAACCUGCCCUUCAGUGGGAGAUAACAUCCGGAAACGGGUGCUAAUACCACAUAACGUCGCAAGACCAAAGAGGGGGACCUUCGGGCCUCUUGCCAUCGGAUGUGCCCAGAUGGGAUUAGCUUGUUGGUGGGGUAACGGCUCACCAAGGCGACGAUCCCUAGCUGGUCUGAGAGGAUGACCAGCCACACUGGAACUGAGACACGGUCCAG
rnacentral:rRNA from 1 species